GUGGGGAAUCUUAGACAAUGGGGGCAACCCUGAUCUAGCCAUGCCGCGUGAGUGAUGGAGGCCUUAGGGUCGUAAAGCUCUUUCGCUGGGGAAGAUAAUGACGGUACCCAGUAAAGAAACCCCGGCUAACUCCGUGCCAGCAGCCGCGGUAAUACGGAGGGGGUUAGCGUUGUUCGGAAUUACUGGGCGUAAAGCGCGCGUAGGCGGAUUGGAAAGUUGGGGGUGAAAUCCCGGGGCUCAACCCUGGAAUGGCCUUCAAAACUCCCAGUCUUGAGGUCGAGAGAGGUGAGUGGAAUUCCGAGUGUAGAGGUGAAAUUCGUAGAUAUUCGGAGGAACACCAGUGGCGAAGGCGGCUCACUGGCCCGUUACUGACGCUGAGGCGCGAAAGCGUGGGGAGCAAACAGGAUUAGAUACCCGAGUAGUCC
rnacentral:rRNA from 1 species